rnacentral:lncRNA from 1 species
AACGGGGAUCCAAAAUAGUUUGUGUAUUUUAUUGGCAAAUGAAAAAUAGUUUGUGUAUUUUUAAGAAAUUUUCUUUUCACAAUUUAAACACGUGUUAAUUAAACACUAACGCCGUCGUCACUUCCGUUAAAUAUAGUUAACGCCGUCUAAAAUAAUGUGUAAAAUCUGGAAAUUUCAAAAGUCUGUGUAUUUAAUAGGCAACGAAAAUUAGUCCGUGUAUUAAACAGGGAUCCAAAAUAGUUCGUGUAUUUUAUUAGCAAAUGAAAAUUAGUAUGUGCAUUUUAAAGGAAUUUUUACUUAA